CACUCAGUCAUAUCCAACUCCUUGCAACCCCGUGGACUUUUAGAAGAGAGUUUUGAAGUAUGAGGAACAGAGCCAAGAGAUGGGGAAAGAUGAGAGAUGGAACCACUGAUCACCAGAGUAGAAACAGCAAAAAUUUCCUCCUGAUAGCACAAUGAUCUAGACAGAGACCUAUAUAUAUUGACCUCCAACAA